rnacentral:rRNA from 1 species
AUGCCCAGCUUGCUGGGUUGAUUAGUGGCGAACGGGUGAGUAACACGUGAGUAACCUGCCCCUGACUCUGGGAUAAGCGUUGGAAACGACGUCUAAUACUGGAUAUGAUCACUGGUCGCAUGGCCUGGUGGUGGAAAGAUUUUUUGGUUGGGGAUGGACUCGCGGCCUAUCAGCUUGUUGGUGAGGUAAUGGCUCACCAAGGCGACGACGGGUAGCCGGCCUGAGAGGGUGACCGGCCACACUGGGACUGAGACACGGCCCAGACUCCUACGGGAGGCAGCAGUGGGGAAUAUUGCACAAUGGGCGAAAGCCUGAUGCAGCAACGCCGCGUGAGGGAUGACGGCCUUCGGGUUGUAAACCUCUUUUAGUAGGGAAGAAGCGAAAGUGACGGUACCUGCAGAAAAAGCACCGGCUAACUACGUGCCAGCAGCCGCGGUAAUACGUAGGGUGCAAGCGUUGUCCGGAAUUAUUGGGCGUAAAGAGCUCGUAGGCGGUUUGUCGCGUCUGCUGUGAAAUCCCGAGGCUCAACCUCGGGCUUGCAGUGGGUACGGGCAGACUAGAGUGCGGUAGGGGAGAUUGGAAUUCCUGGUGUAGCGGUGGAAUGCGCAGAUAUCAGGAGGAACACCGAUGGCGAAGGCAGAUCUCUGGGCCGUAACUGACGCUGAGGAGCGAAAGCAUGGGGAGCGAACAGGAUUAGAUACCCUGGUAGUCCAUGCCGUAAACGUUGGGCGCUAGAUGUAGGGACCUUUCCACGGUUUCUGUGUCGUAGCUAACGC